rnacentral:rRNA from 1 species
GGAAUCCGCCAGAGAACUACAAACCAAACGUUUAAAACUCAAAGGACUUGGCGGUGCUUCAAACCCACCUAGAGGAGCCUGUUCUAUAAUCGAUAAUCCACGAUACACCUCACCAUCUCUAGCCCACAGCCUAUAUACCUCCGUCUACAGCUUACCCUGUGAAGGAAUUAAAAGUAAGCAUAACAGUUAACACAGCUAACAAGUCAGGUCAAGGUGUAGCCAACUGAGAUGGAAGAAAUGGGCUACAUUUUCUAUACUAGAAUUAUUUUAACGGAAAGAGCCUUGAAAACAUUGCUCUAAAAGCAGGAUUUAGCAGUAAUAUGAGAACAG